AUGGCCGUUGCUCCCGGCGGGGUUCCCAGACCUCGAGCGCGGCAGUCGGCCGUGCUGCAACACGCGUCUGUGGGCGGCUUCGUGACGCACGCCGGGUGGGCGUCGGUACUGGAGGGCGUGGCCGGCGGCGUGCCCAUGGUGUGCCGUCCCUUCUUCAGCGACCAGAGGAUGAACGCGCGGAUGGUGGAGCACGUCUGGGGGUUCGGCACCGUCUUUGAGCAACCCAUGACGAGUGGGACCAUGUCGGCGGCCGUGUUGUCGCUGCUAGCCGGUGACAAAGUCACCCGGAUGCAGGAGAUGCGGGACAUGGCGGCCACCGCGUUCGCGCCCGGCAGCAGGAAGAACCUUGAUAAGCUUCUCAAGAUAGUCUGUCCAUCAUCAAUAGAGCACAGCCGCGGUGAUCAUGUCGACGAAGCAGCAGAAGUGACAAGAUGCGCCCCGACGACACAUGAUCAGCUGCUUGGUGCUAGCAGCCUAGCAAGCAAGCACCGUGGCUUGUUUUUCUGGCUUAUGCCAAAGUUUCCUACUCAAGGAAUAUAA
rnacentral:rRNA from 1 species